rnacentral:rRNA from 1 species
UACGUAGGGGGCUAGCGUUGUCCGGAAUCAUUGGGCGUAAAGCGCGCGUAGGCGGCCCGGUAAGUCCGCUGUGAAAGUCAAAGGCUCAACCUUUGAAUGUCAGCGGAUACUGCCGGGCUAGAGUCCGGAAGAGGCGAGUGGAAUUCCUGGUGUAGCGGUGGAAUGCGCAGAUAUCGGGAGGAACACCUGUGGCGAAGGCGGGAUCCUGGGCCAGUACUGACGCUGAGGAGCGAAAGCGUGGGGAGCAAACAGG